CAGUUAGAUUUUAAUAAUAAUUUUUUUUUGCUACGGUUCAAACUUCUAACAUUCGUAAAUAAAAUAAUGAUUUUCUAAUUUCAGCAAAAAACGGAACAUCAUGUGAAAGUGUCGGGCCCAUUUUUCUCCCAUAACAGUGCGCCCAUGGAGAAAAAGCAUUUAUAUGUUUCUCCCACUCCACCCAAUUUAAUUUUUAGUUUGUUUGUUUUGGUUUUUAUAUUUUAGUAAGUGGAUUGUAGUUUUUAACAGUUUCUGAUGGUUUUGGCAGUCGCUAAAACUUCAAAUCUACCCAGAUUUUCCAGAAACGAUACGGGACCAUUUAACAUUAGAGAACUGAUCACAUUCACGGUGGAAUUUUCGACGUUGCUCUUGCAUUAUUCUUGCAAAUAUUUCCUGUUCAAUCAUUCCAGGUGAUACGAUGAUGAUAGUCGAAAACGAACCAUUUCAUCCUUAUUCGUCUGCAUGACAUAAUCGAUAAUCGCAGCACAUCGGCUGAAAUGUUGUUCAGAUGUUUUUGUAAAGUGGAACGAUAAUUUAGGAAGCCUACCGACUUUAUUCCGGAAUCCAGUCAUGACUAAAUUUACAAACAUGUAUCAAGCCGUAUCGCAAUACUCACCCAAACGGCUGCUGCUUUAUUCGCAUACAGGACACACAGGCAACAUUGUUUUUAAAUUGGGUCGUGUGGAUGUUCUGCCCGAACGAAUUCAAGGAAAACAUCGCCUAAUAUACAUUUUAUCAUGUUACCACCAUCAGAUCGAUUAUUUUUUGGGUGGAAAAGCUUCCAUGCGACCGAAAUAUGGCACAUCAGAAUUGUUUAAAUUUAGCUCAGAAAUGAUCCAUUUUAUAAGUGAUUAAGUGUAUAACUUUAAUUGA